rnacentral:rRNA from 1 species
GAUGCCAGCUAGCGAUCCGCCAAAGUUCCUCCGAUGACUUGGUGGGCAGCUUCCGGGAAACCAAAGCAUUUGGGUUCCGGGGGAAGUAUGGUUGCAAAGCUGAAACUUAAAGGAAUUGACGGAAGGGCACCACCAGGAGUGGAGCCUGCGGCUUAAUUUGACUCAACACGGGAAACCUCACCAGGCCCGGACACCGGAAGGAUUGACAGAUUGAGAGCUCUUUCUUGAUUCGGUGGGUGGUGGUGCAUGGCCGUUCUUAGUUGGUGGAGCGAUUUGUCUGGUUAAUUCCGAUAACGAACGAGACUCUAGCCUACUAAAUAGACGUACUUUAUUACCGGCAUCUCAAGGCCCAUCGGCUGUAUUGUUACUGAAUGUUAUUUGUAUAUUUUGUUGAUAUAUAUUUAUAAAUAUGUAUGAUUUGGUAAUAUAUAUUUUAUUAUAAUUUUAUUUUAUAAUUGAUUA